rnacentral:rRNA from 1 species
CCUACGGGUGGCAGCAGUGGGGAAUAUUGGGCAAUGGGCGCAAGCCUGACCCAGCAACGCCGCGUGAAGGAAGAAGGCUCUCGGGUUGUAAACUUCCUUUAAGAGGGAAGAGCAGAAGACGGUACCUCUUGAAUAAGCCACGGCUAACUACGUGCCAGCAGCCGCGGUAAUACGUAGGUGGCAAGCGUUGUCCGGAUUUACUGGGUGUAAAGGGCGUGUAGCCGGGCUGACAAGUCAGAUGUGAAAGCCAGUGGCUCAACCACGGAACUGCAUUUGAAACUGUCGGUCUUGAGUAUCGGAGAGGCAGGCGGAAUUCGUGGUGUAGCGGUGAAAUGCGUAGAUAUUAGGAGGAACACCAGUGGCGAAGGCGGCCUGCUGGACGGCAACUGACGUUGAGGCGCGAAAGCGUGGGGAGCAAACAGGAUUAGAUACCCGGGUAGUC